UUCAGACCUUUCAGAGACACUGAACACACCAGCAGCACAAUGAUGAUGUCACUGACUCUACUGCUGACCACCCUGGGGCUCCUUGUUCAGGGUUCAUCAGGUGAAAUCAUCCUGACUCAGACUCCUCGGUCUCAGUCUGUUGCUCCAGGACAAACUGUGUCUCUCAGAUGUAAAGCCAGUUCAAGUGUUAGCUAUGAUUUGCAGUGGUAUCUUCAAAAACCUGGAGAACCUCCUAAGCUCCUAAUCUAUAAUGCCAAUUCACGUUGGUCAGGAGUUUCUGAUCGUUUCAGUGGAAGUCAGUCUGGCACUGACUUCACUCUGACCAUCAGUAGAGUUCAGGCUGAAGAUGCAGGAGUUUAUUACUGUCAGCAGGAUAGCAGCAGACCGUUCACACAGUGAUUCAACGUCGUACAAAAACCUCCCUCAGCUGGAGAGGAACUGAUCCACAGCUGCACAGAGCUGAAGGGUUCAACUACAGAAACCAUUUUAUGAAACACAAC